rnacentral:rRNA from 1 species
UACGUAGGGUGCGAGCGUUGUCCGGAAUUAUUGGGCGUAAAGAGCUCGUAGGCGGUGUGUCGCGUCGGCCGUGAAAACCUGCAGCUUAACUGUGGGCUUGCGGUCGAUACGGGCAUCACUGGAGUUCGGCAGGGGAGACUGGAAUUCCUGGUGUAGCGGUGAAAUGCGCAGAUAUCAGGAGGAACACCGGUGGCGAAGGCGGCCUUCUGGACAGUGACUGACGCUGAGACGCGAAAGCGUGGGGAGCAAACAGG